AAACACUUUUAAAAAGGAUGAGUAUGAAAAGGCAGGUCCUAAAUUAAUAAACAUCUUUUUUAAUAAUUUAACACAUUGAAACUGAAAAAUGGUUUAACACAUCAGCUCCUAGAGCAAUAUAGACUUCUCACGUGCUAAGUAAAGCAUUGGCACAAGGGUGCCACUGAAUUAACUAAAUGGAGUCGGAGCCUAAAUGAUUCACCGAGUCCUGAUUCUGGUUGUGCCGUGGGUAUUGUUUCCAUCUCUCCUGGGCUGGACAGGAUUCUGGUUUCCCGAGUAUGGUUAGCGAAUGUAGCAUCAUUUGUUAUUAUUCAGUUCAUUUAUUUCGUGUUUUCUGUUGUUUUCUUUUUUCCUUCUUCUCUUGGGUUAUCUCCAGAUAACAACGUAGCCGCUCGGCACAAAAAGAAAAAAAGGAAGAAGACAGACAAGUCACCAGCGGCCCGCCCGUCUAUGUGGAAGCGCCUUCAGUGCUGGUCAUCCUCGGACAUCCCACCCCCUUCUAAAUAGGCUCUCCCUUUCCCAGACACUCAGAUUCCUUUCCCUUUACCAGCUCCUCACCAAAUACCCUCCCUCAUUUAUGAAGAAAAAAAAAAAAAGGAAAACCACCAAUGACCCGUACGGAAAGGCCAGAGGACCCAUAGUGGCCCCUCCUCCUGACCCCAAAGCAGCUCCCGAGCCUUCAAACUACCAACGUGCCUCUGAGGACAACGGCCUCCUCUCCCAUCCGCCUGCGGUGCCCGGAGCGGCUGUAGAACGAGGAAAGGGGUUCCCGUGCUGCUUCCACUUGUCCCGUUAGUGAGGAUGCUGUGACAGCCCUAAGGGUCACACCCCCAUAUGUGGAACUCCUGUCUGACCCUCCAGCCACUGGAAUCUUGUGAACAAAUGCACUUUGGCCUGGGGAUGCUCACACUGCAAUGACAGACCGACAUCCCCGAGGCCGCCACUCUGUGAGCGUGCCCCUUAGGACACGUGUUAGCUACUUCACCUCCAUUUAAGCGUGCGUGUGCGAGUGCGUGUGCGGGUGAGCAGAUACACGCACGCACGCACUCUCUCAGGCUGGGCCUCGUGGCCCGGACUCCCGCCUCCCUCUCCCAGAAGCCUGGUGGUCCCAGGAGACGCCCAGACCAGCCAAACGACAAGACCUUGAGGUCCUGGUGGACCCUGGUGUCAGGCUCACUGUUAACCCAGAGCGUUGCCAAGCCAGGCCUGGGCCCCAUGUCCUUCAGGCCAGGGCGGUCUUCCAGGCAGGUGGCCUCAGGCUUUGCCUCUCUCCAGCUGGCUCCUGGGCCACCUGCUCACUUUUCUGUAAACACUGGGUCUGCCCGGCCUGGGCGAUGGGGCAAGAAAAGCCCUGCCCGCCCCCUCCCAGCAAGUGUCCACAGUGUGCAGAGGGGAGCGUGUGCGAGAGGCAGGUGCAGCCUGAUUUGAAAGUGGCUGCAGCGCCCCAGUGUCCCCAUCAAGCAUGAGACUUUAUUACUCCUUGAGUGACUUCCUGGGGUAGAAACCAAAUUUAAUCUAUUACAUACAUGUGUUCACCCUCGUGAAAUAGAUGUGCUUUGAGGUGUCCCCCCAAAUAUAUAUAUACUACAGGGUGUCCCCCCAAAUGUAAAUACACUUUCACAGCUGAUAACUCAGUUUUCACUCCAUUUCAGGGUUAACGGAUUUGACGUAAUGGGUGAAGCCAGACUCAGCUUUGAACAAAGGAGAUGUAUCCUCUGGACUUGCUUCUGGGGACACACAAAGGAUGAGGUGUCUGGUACAGAACGGGCCACAGUGCAGGCACCGAGGCCGCUGUGGAGAGAGGAUGCGCACACACAGAGCAGCGGCUCUCGGUGUUUGCGAUUCCAUUGCUUCCUCAGCAGCAGCGCCAGAACUGAGGCGAGCGAUGGAGGCGCCAACACCAAGAACUGUUCCUGCGGUGGGUGUGUGUGCGUAUCUCUCUCCAUAGCUGCCCUGGACUCCUCAUCGUUGUCUGUUGUCUGCCGUCGACUUUUAUCUUUUAUGUGUCCCCAUAAAAGGCCUAGUGCAGAAAUUUUCUUUGUUCAAAGCUCAGUCUGGCUUCACCCAUUUCUUCAAAUGAGUUAAACAUGAAAAGGUGAAAAUUCAGUGAAUUGUCAGCUGUUAAAAGUGUGUGCACAUUUUUUUGGAACUCUACAAUCCGUUCCAUUGGGGGUCAUUCUCUUCCACCAGAGUCUCACCUGUAUGUACAUGGUGGGGGGGGGGGAGGGGCGCCCUAUAUGUUCAAAAGGCAGCCAUUCUAUUCCUUCGGGAGUUGAUUUAUUAUUUCUUUUCACGGUGUGCACAUUUUUUGGACCACCCUAGAUGUACAUUCCAUAGGGAGUCAUUCAUGUUUGUUGGGAGUCUAACCUCUGUGUACCAUUCUUGGGGGAUACUCCAUGUUUAUGUUCCAUAGGGAGUCAUUCAUGUUUAUCGGGAGUCUGACCUGUGUACCAUUCUUGGGGGAUACUCCAUGUUUAUAUUCCAGAGGGAGUCAUGUUUAUCGGGAGUCUGACCUGUGUACCAUUCUUGGGGGACACUCCAUGUUUAUAUUCCAUAGGUAGUCAUGUUUAUCGGGAGUCUGACCUGUGUACCAUUCUUGGGGGAUACUCCAUGUUUAUAUUCCAUAGGGAGUCAUUCAUGUUUAUCGGGAGUCUGACCUGUGUACCAUUCUUGGGGGACACUGCAUGUUUAUGUUCCAUAGGGAAUCAUUCAUGUUUAUCGGGAGUCUGACCUGUGUACCAUUCUUGGGGGACACUCCAUGUUUAUGUUCCAUAGGGAGUCAUUCAUGUUUAUCGGGAGUCUGACCUGUGUACCAUUCUUGGGGGACACUCCAUGUUUAUGUUCCAUAGGGAGUCAUUCAUGUUUAUCGGGAGUCUGACCUGUGUACCAUUCUUGGGCGACACUCCAUGUUUAUGUUCCAUAGGGAGUCAUGUUUAUCGGGAGUCUGACCUGUGUACCAUUCCUGGGGGACACUCCAUGUUUAUAUUCCAUAGGGAGUCAUUCAUGUUUAUCGGGAGUCUGACCUGUGUACCAUUCUUGGGGGACCCUCCAUGUUUAUAUUACAUAAGGAGUCAGUUGUUUGCGUCAGGAGUCUCACCUGCUGCUGUGUGUUUGGCCGGAUUCCUGACACAUUUUGUUUCCUCUUGCUACUAAAGGUGCUCAUCGUGGGAGGUACUGAACCUGGUGAUUGGGGUUUUAUAAAGAUUUUCUCCGUUAGAGCUAAAGUACUGAGAAAUGUUAACAUGGUCAAUUGUCAAAGUGCUUUGGGUUGUAUAUUAAAUAGCCAUUGAUUCUGGAAUACAAGGACGGGUUUGUAAUAAAAUGAGAUGUUGUAGAAUUGA